GACCAGACUCCUACGGGAGGCAGCAGUGGGGGAUAUUGCACAAUGGGGGAAACCCUGAUGCAGCGACGCCGCGUGGGUGAAGAAGCGCCUCGGCGCGUAAAGCCCUGUCAGCAGGGAAGAAAAUGACGGUACCUGACUAAGAAGCUCCGGCUAAAUACGUGCCAGCAGCCGCGGUAAUACGUAUGGAGCAAGCGUUAUCCGGAAUUACUGGGCGUAAAGGGAGCGUAGGCGGCAAGGCAAGUCUGAUGUGAAAACCCAGGGCCCAACCCUGGGACUGCAUUGGAAACUGUAUUGCUUGAGUACCGGAGAGGCAGGCGGAAUUCCUAGUGUAGCGGUGAAAUGCGUAGAUAUUAGGAGGAACACCAGUGGCGAAGGCGGCCUGCUGGACGGUAACUGACGCUGAGGCUCGAAAGCGUGGGGAGCAAACAGGAUUAGAUACCCCAGUA
rnacentral:rRNA from 1 species